CUCUUUCACUUGAGUAUCUUACCUUACCUGGUUAUUUUCAGAUGAUUUCCUUUUGCCCUUAUGUAGCUUUGUCAACUAUGUGUGUGCUUUAUAUACCUGUUCACUCCUCUCCCUGUAGGCUUUACAGAUGCUCCCCACUCCUUGGCUGCAACCAUUCUAAUCGGCACCGUUUGGAACUGCUGAUCUGUGGUCAAGAAUGCUGAGAUGAUCUCAGCCUAUGCUACCAUUAUGUCUCUAGCCAUUUUGGCCCUGACAGAGACAUGUAUCAUCCCAGAGAACACCGCUACUCCAGCUGAUCUCUCUUCAUCUAACUACGUGUUCUGUCAUGACACUCAACUACUGUCCCCCCCCCUCAUCGUGAUUGUGGCACAGGGCUACUCACUCACUCACCAUCUCUUCAUUUGAAUUCCAUACUGUUACUUGUCAUCUAUCACCCACCAGGUGCCCUUAGCGAGUUCGUCAAUGAGAUUGACACCUUGAUAAACUAAUUUCCCGAUGGCUCAACGCUCAUCGUUCUGGGCGACUUCAACCUCCCAACGUCUGCCUUCGAUUCCUUUCUUUCCACCUCUUUCUUUCCCCUCCUUGCCUCUUUCGACCUGACCCUUUCCCAGUUCCCUCACACUCACAAGGCAGGCAAUUCACUUGACCUCAUCUUUACUAGAGGCUGUUCACCUACUAAUCUCACUGCAACUUAAUCCAGGUCUCUGAUCACUACUUUGUUUCCUUUUCUGCCUCCCUCUCCUCCAACCUUACCCACUCAGCCCCUACCCAGAUGGUCAAGUGCCAUCGUCAACUUUACUUUCUCUCUCCCACUACUCUCUCUCCUUCUAAAUCCUUCUCCCUCCUGUCUCCUGAUUUUGCCUCUUCGACCCUACUCUCCUCCCUUUCUGCAUCCCAUGACUUGCACUGUUCUCUUUCCAUGCAGCCAGCUCGUGGCUGAGUGACCCUCUGACUUCAAAAUGGCCAGAGUUGCUCCCCUCCACAAGCAACCAACACUUGACCACUCUGACGUCAAAAACUACAGACCGUGGUGGCUGGUCCCCUGCAAGAAGGUGAGGUGCCUGAGGUCCCUCCGCCCCCUCUGGACAUCGAGGAGUCCCGUACACGGUUCGUGUUAUUCUGGAUUCGAGACGCCGGGUCGGGGGCCUACAGUACCUUGUGGACUGGGAGGGGUACGGUCCGGAGGAGAGAUGCUGGGUUUCGGUUGGGGACAUUUUGAACCCUUCUCUCCUGAGAGAUUUCCACCGCCUCCACCCGGAUCGCCCGGCGCCUCGUCCUCCGGGAGGUCCUCGAGGCCGGUGGCGGCGGGCUGCGGGAGCCGCGCGUCAGGGGGGGUACUGUCACGUUUGUCUGUUGGUUUUGUCUUAUUAGUUUCACCUGUGUGUAUUUUAGUUUAAUUAGCUUCCCUAUAUGUAGUAGGUUGUCCCACCCUUGUUUUGUGCGGGAUUGUUUUUUGUUACUCUGUUGGAUUGUGGUUUUCAUGUGUGUAUUCUCCGGACUGUUUGGUCCUGUGUUUGGGCUGGUCUGUUCUAUGCGCCC
ensembl:lncRNA